ensembl:lncRNA
GAAGGGAGAGUGACACAGACAGGGAAGAAGUCCAUGUGGACAAAGAGGCAUGGAUUGGAGUGAUGCCUACAAGUCUAGGAAUGCCACUAGAAUCUAGGAGGGGCCAGGAAGUCUCCUCCCCAAGAGCCUUUGGAGGGAGUGUGAUCGUGUCCAUAUUUUGAUUUUAGACUUCUGGACUCUAGGAUUGUGAGAGAAUAAACUUCUAUUCUUUUAAGUCAUCUUGUUUGUGCUAAUUUAUUCUGAUAGCUUAGGAAACUAAUAUAUCUCUGUGACGAUGUGGAUUUGAUCCCUGGCUUCAUUCAGUGGGUUAAGGAUCUGGUGUUGCCCCAAGAUGUGGUUUAGGUCACAGAUGUGGCUUGGGUCUGGUGUUGCUGUGGCUGUGGCAAAGGCCUGCAGCUGCAGCAGCGAUUUGACCCCUGGCAGGGGAAUUUCCAUAUGCUACAAGUGUGGCUAUAAAAAAGAAAAAAAAAAUCUGAAUCAGAGAGAAGAAGCCAUUUCUUCACUUGGCUGUCUGAACUCAUCUUCUAAUUUCUAGGUUUUCCACCUUCAUCCUAACCGUUCUCUCAUCUCCUGCUGAUGCCUCCUUUAAACCAAACUCACCAGAUGCCCUGAUGCAGGAAGCUCAUUGACAUGGUUCACACAGAUUUGCAUCCUGGGGUGCAGAGCUGGUUGGAGGUAGAUGGAGAGGAGGAGUGGGGUCUACCAGAAAAAUCUGUCUUUCCCAAUGGGUGGACUGAUUGGUUGAUCAAGUUAUUGGACAGAUAUUGACUGAGCACCUGUUUUGUGUCAAGCACUGGGCUAAGAACCAGGAGAAGAGAAUGAUAAGACAAAGCUCUUUCCCACUAGGUGGAGGAGACAAAAAAUGAAAAAACUCAAAUAAGCCUCAAGGUCAUGCCAGAUAAAAGUACUUGCUUAAGUUGCCAUGACAAGUCAUAGUAAUCACUAUAGUCAUAGGCAGGACAACAAACUGCCAAAAUGACAUGAAUAUUAUUAUUUUUAAUUGCAGUAAAAUGUACACAGCAUAACAGUUAACAUCCCUACCAUCUUAAGUGUACAGUCCAGUGGCAUGAAGUAUAUUCACAUGGUUGCAUAGCCAUUGCUACCAUCCAUCUCCAGAAAUUGUUCAUCUUUUCAAACUGCAACUCUGUUCCCAUUAAACACACACACUUUAAAAUUCUCCACCCCCACUCUUCCCCAAGCCCCCUGGCACCCACCAUGCUACUGUCUCUACGAAUCUGACUGCUCUGGGGACCUCAUAUAAGUAGUAAAACAUUUGUCCUUUUGUUUCUGGCUUAUUCACUGAGCAUAAUGUCCUCAAGGUUCCACUGUAACAUGUAGGCAUGAUUCUAAUUUUGACUAGGAAAAAUAUCCCCACUUGGAAAGUAAUCCACCAAAAUUUUAAUAGUUCUUAUGAAUAGGAUUUGGAUGACUUUUUUGAAUCAUUCUACACUUUCUGCAUUUUCCAAAUUUUCUGCAAUGGAUAUUCAUUACCUUGGUCAUACAAAAGUCUAAUUUUUUUAACUCAAUGAAUUUUAUUACAUUUAUACAAAAGUCUAAAAUUAGUGCCCCUUUGUUUAUCUCCCUCUCUUUCCUGUGAGCAAUGCUACUAGAGUUCCCCAGCUCCUGAAAGUACCACUGAAUACACUUCUAUUGCUACAAUCUACCCCUCAUCGCUUGCUUAUUCUUCUACUGUCUCUUCUUAAUACCCGUCUAUUCAGGAAGUCUGAGCAGGAAGCAGACAUACACUCAAGGGAAGCUGAGGAGAGUUUGGUGAAGGUGUGUUAGGAGGGUAAGAAAACCACAUAGGAUGGCAUGGUAACUUGAAGUUAGCAGCACCUGGGAGCAGUUGUCCAUCCUUAGAGGAACAUUCUGGAGAGGGAGAAGGCAGAAGCAGAGAGAGAAGAGGGGGAAGUUACUACUAGAAUCUGGAGAGGACCACCUGCUAGUACCUGUGAUCUAAAGUCUAGGGGCACAGACAUCUUCAGUGAGCAUGUAGGGAGGGACCUGAAGGAGAAAGUACCCUGGCCUCACUCUCCUUUAUCCCUCUGUCCUCCUGAAAGCGUCUUUCAUUGCUAGAACCCAACCAGAAGCCAGAGAUCAAAGGGACCAAGCUGGUACAAUCCAUGGGGGUUCUAGAACACAGAACAAGAGGAGGAUGAAGAGUAUCUCAGGAGAUGAUAUGGGAGUUCUCCUGUGCCAUGUCUCAUUGAAAUAGACCUCUGACAGACUUGGGGUUGCCAGGGGGGGCAGGGGGAGAAAGCGGGAUGGACUGGGAAUUUGGGGUUGGUAGAUGCAAACUAUUACAUUUAAAAUGGAUAAGCAAUGGGGUCCUAUUGUACAGCACAGGCCACUUUGUCCAAUCUCUUAGGUUAGAACAUAAGGAAGAUAGUAUGAAAAAAGAAUGUGCGUAUAUGUGUGACUGGGUAAUUUUGCUGUAAGCAGAAACUGAAGGAACAUUGUAAAUCAACUACACCUUAAUAAAAAAAAAGAAGAGGGAGAGAGUAAAGCUCUGAGCACAGAGGUGGAAUUCCUCAUUCAGUACAGUGCUGGACACAAAACAGAUGUUCGUCAAAAUUGAAUCAGUACUCAUGAACUAGAAGGAGACUGGUUUUUUAAAAUUGUAUAACACAGGUAAGGAUUACCAUUGUAACCAUUUUUUUCCCAGCCUUAUUGAGAUAAACUGAUAUGGAAGACUGUGUAAAUUUAAGGUGUACAGUGUCUUGAUUUGAUACAUUUUUAUGUUGCAAAAUGAUUACCAUCCUAGCCAUUGUAACCAUUAUAAAGUCAUAAGUCAGGGGUGUUUAGUAUGUUCAUGAUGUUGUGCAAACAUCACCACUCUCCUGCUCCAGAACUUUUUCAUCACCCCAAAUGGAAGCCCCGAACCUGUGAAGCAGGCCAUCACCAUCCCCUCCUACCGCUAGCUCCUGGUAAACAGUAAUCUGCUUUCUGUCUCUAUGGAUUUACCUAUUCUGAAUAUCUCAUAUAAAUAUAAAUACAGACUCAAUUUUGGAGGUGGGUAACUUCUCUCUUCAUCUCUUUCUUUUCUCCCCUGAAAUUCUGCCUGUGGUUUCAGACACUUCACUUGCCUAUCAGGCCACUCCGGUAAUGAGGGUUGGGUGGGAAUAAGAGGGCCUGGCCUUCCUCUUCCCCCUCCUCCGUUCCCUCUGGGGUCCCAGGAAUGAUGGGGAAGCUGUCAGCCAAUAAUGAGACCUCCCCUUCUCCCUUAAUGACUCUGGAGGCUGCGGGGAUGCCGCAGGCUAGCUCUGUCCUAAUUAAUUAUAGGGAGUGCUUCCCACAGAGGAAUUAGCCUCAAUUCCUCCUCCAUCUCAGGUUCCUCUUGGCUCAGCCCCUGCUCAAGCCCCACCCCACAGCUGGUGCAGGUGUGUGGGGCAGUCUAGGGAUGCUCUGUCUGGGGUGGCCUGCCCGCUUAAUGCUAGGGCCAGAGCUGAAGCUUCUGGUCAGAGUGGGCCUUGGGCUGGCCUCAAACACUGUUUGCACCAUUUAUUAACAAUGCGGGCUGUGAAUUAACUUCUUUGAGCAUCUAUAAAAGGGAGCCAGUAGCCUUUCCCUUACUGAAAGAAUGAGAGAAGGACUCACAGGGCCUGGGCAAGGGUGAGGAGAAUAAGGCACUUGCCUGGGCUGCAAUAUGUUAGGGAGAGCCAAAAAACCUCUGUAAUUAAGAAGAAAUAAUAUUGGAAUCUUAUUAUUGGAAUAUUAAUUUUGAGAAGUGAUAGAUAUGUUUAUGGCCUUGAUGGUGGUGAUGGUUUCAUGGGUAUGUGAUUAUUCCCAAACUCAUAAAGUUUGUAUACAUUAAAUACAUCCAGAUUUUGACGUGCCCAUAUACCCCAAUAAAAUGGUUAAAAAAGAAAUGAAUAGGGCAGAGAGACACAUAGUGAGUCUGUGUGUAUCUGUAAUUUUGAAAUAUGAAGUCAAAUUUUUUUUCUUUAUAAAUUAUCCUUUGGGGAUAUAGUUAUCUUUUCUCCAUUCAGAGGUAACAAAGAUGUUCUCCUAUAAAAAAAUAAAUAACAUCCUAUUGUUAAUAAUUUAAAACCACACAAAAUUAAGGCAAAAAUCCACAAUAAGCAAAAUAUCAAAAUGUUAAAGGCAGAGUCAGUAAGAGUGUCAAGAUGAGCCAUAUGGAAGCCUGGAGUACAAGGAAAAAUCAGGAAUCCUGAUCCUGUCUUUGUAUGAAAUAUUGAUAUUUUGUUUUUCAUGGAUUUUUGGGAUUAAUUUUCAGUUUUUAAAGUAUUGCAUUGAAACAUUAUUAUUAUUUUUUCUUUUUCAGCCACCUCCAUGGCAUAAGAAAAUUCCAGGGCCAGGAAUCAAACCUGAGCUGGAGCCGUAACCUACGCCACAGCUGCGGCAAUGCCACCGGAUCCUUAACCCAUUCUGCCACAACAGGAACGCCUACAUUGAAAUAUUAUUUAUCUUAAACACAGAGUUUCUUUGGGCACUCCUUUACUUUUCUUAAAUUGAAAUGAAAUUCACACAACAUAAAAUUGACUAUUUCAAAGAGUAUAGUUCAGUGGCAUUUGAUACAUUCACAAUAUUAUCUCUAUCUAGUUUCAGAACAUUUUUAUCAUCUCUAAAGGAGAUCUAGUAGCCACUGGCAACCAGACUCCAUUCCUCUCCCUGGUCUAGCCCCACAUAACCACUAAUCUGGCUUCCGUCUCUAUGGAUUUACCUGUUCUGGACAUUUCAUACAAAUAGAUACAUACCAAACAGUAUGUACUUCUGUGUCUGUGUCUAAGUUUUAUCACCAAGCUUAGUGCUUUAGAGGUUUAUCUACAUUAUAACAUGCAUCAGUGCUGCCCGAUACAUUUUGCACCAUAGUGAAUGCUUCACUUGCUCCAACCUUGUCCAAGCCCUGAAGAACCAUAGCGGCUAAUUUUUACUGAGCCCUUAAAGAAUGCUUCAUUAAAAAAAAAUGUGACAUAGUUGACAUAUAACAUUGUGUAAGAUUAUGGUGUACAAAGUGUUGAUUUUAUGCAUUUACAUAUUGCAAUAUGAUUAACACCAGAGCAUUAGUUAACACCUCUAUCACAUCACCUAAUUAUCAUUUCUUUUUUUGUGGUGAGAACAUUCAAGAUCUAGUCUCUUAGCAACUUUCAAGUUUAUAACAUAGAAUGGUUGACGGUAAUCACUACGCAAAGCAUAAAAUCUCCAGAUACUUAUUCAUCUUUUAGUUCAUUUAACCCUCACUACAAUUCUAUGGGGGUAGUUCCUACAAAUGCAAAGACUCCGAGCAUUCUCAUUUUACACAUAGGAAAACUGAAACUUGGAGAAGUAAAGCAACUUGUCAUAAGCCUAUGAGCUAACUAAUGGGAGAAUGGAAGGAAUCCAAACUCAGGUAGUCUGAUUCCAGGGUCUGACCCUUAAUAAUGUGUAGGUAGAGUGCCUGGGCAGUACCUGGCAUAGAAGGAGCUCUUGGUACAUGCAGAAUAGCUCAGGCCAUAUGGAUCCAAAAAGAGUAGGCUCUGCCUGAGCCCAGACGAGGCUCCCUGAUUCACUUCCCAAAGGCUUCCUAGUUGGGGAUAGGUAGAUUUUGAAAAGCUUGUGAAACAUGUUGCUGGGAGAUGCAUGUGCUGCCCUCCUUGCUGUGUGUGGCAAGUCCUGCUCAGAGCCUUUGCAUUUGCCCUUUCCUCUGCUUGGAUUGUUCUUCCUCCAGAUAUCCUCAUGGUUUGCUCCCUCAUCCACCCUGGGUCUUUGCACAUAUAUCACCUUCACAUCUAGAGGUGUGAAACAUCAAUAAGAAUGUUACUCCUUCCCUACCCUUCAUACUUUCUUUUCCUGAUUAUUUUUUUCCACAGGGCUUAUCACUAUCUGACAACAGUUUGCACACUGUAGUCUCAGAGAACCCUAAGAUGUGGUUCUCUGAGAUUUCAGGGGGUCUACAUGGUGAAAACUAUUUUCAUAUUAAUACUAGGAUAUUAUUUGCUUUUUUCACUGUGUUGAUCUGUGCUCUGAUGGUACCAAGGCAAUGUACCAGGGCAAUGUAUCAGGGAAUAUCUUAACAUGAAUCAGGGCAGCAACAAGAACCUGUACUAGGAAUUGUU